rnacentral:rRNA from 1 species
CUACGUAGGGGGCGAGCGUUGUCCGGAAUGAUUGGGCGUAAAGGGCGCGUAGGCGGCGCGGUAAGUCUGGAGUGAAAGUCCUGCUUUCAAGGUGGGAAUUGCUUUGGAUACUGCCGCGCUUGAGUGCAGGAGAGGUUAUCGGAAUUCCCGGUGUAGCGGUGAAAUGCGUAGAGAUCGGGAGGAAAACCAGUGGCGAAGGCGGGUAACUGGACUGCAACUGACGCUGAGGCGCGAAAGUGUGGGGAGCAAACAGGAUUAGAUACCCUGGUAGUCCACACUGUAAACGAUGAAUGCUAGGUGUAAGAGGUAUCGACCCCUUUUGUGCCGGAGUCAACACAAUAAGCAUUCCGCCUGGGGAGUACGGCCGCAAGGUUGAAACUCAAAUGAAUUGACGGGG